UAAUAGGGANAGUUGGGGGCAUUAGUACUUAACUGCCAGAGGUGGAAUUCUCAGAUUUGUUAAAGACUGACUUAUGCGAAAGCAUUUGCCAAGGAUGUUUUCAUUGAUCAAGAACGAAAGU
rnacentral:rRNA from 1 species